rnacentral:rRNA from 1 species
GAUGAACGCUGGCGGCGUGCCUAACACAUUCAAGUCGAACGGGCAGUAGCGAUACUGUCAGUGGCGGACGGGUGAGUAAUACAUGAGCAACCUGCCUUAAAGAGGGGGAUAACACUGGGAAACCGGUGCUAAUACCGCAUGACGCAUAGAGGAGGCAUCUCCUUUAUGCCAAAGGAGCAAUCCGCUUUAAGAUGGGCUCAUGUCUGAUUAGAUAGUUGGUAGGGUAACGGCCUACCAAGUCUACGAUCAGUAGCCGGACUGAGAGGUCGGACGGCCACAUUGGAACUGAGAUACGGUCCAGACUCCUACGGGAGGCAGCAGUGGGGAAUAUUGGGCAAUGGGCGAAAGCCUGACCCAGCGACGCCGCGUGAGGGAAGAAGGUCUUCGGAUUGUAAACCUCUGUUGACAGGGACGAAGGAAGUGACGGUACCUGUUGAGGAAGCCACGGCUAACUACGUGCCAGCAGCCGCGGUAAAAUGCGUACU